GAUGAAGAACGCAGCGAAAUGCGAUAAGUAGUGUGAAUUGCAGAAUUCAGUGAAUCAUCGAAUCUUUGAACGCACUUUGCGCCCCCCAGUAUUCUGGCGGGCAUGCCUGUUCGAGCGUCAUUUCAACCAUCAAGCCCUGCUUGUGUUGGGGUCCUGCGGCUGCCCGCAGGCCCUGAAAACCAGUGGCGGGCUCGCUAGUCACACCGAGCGCAGUAGCACAUCUCGCUCAGGGCGUGCGGCGGGCUCCAGCCGUUAAAGCACCCACCUUUCGCAAGGUUGACCUCGGAUCAGGUAGGAAUACCCGCUGAACUUAAGCAUAUCAAUAAGCGGAGGA
rnacentral:misc_RNA from 1 species